ACGACCGAUGACCAACUGAUUUUGACCUACAACAGAAGCUUUUUGGUGGGUGUGGACCAACAAGAGGGAUGACCUGAGAAGACAACAAAGUGGAAAGGCAGAGGCCCACAGGUUGUCUGCUAAGAACAGCAAAAGGGUCAGAUCAAAACUGGAAAGCAGGCUGAAGGCCAUUGCAACCAUAGACUGGCCGGAGAAGAA